GACGAACGCUGGCGGCGUGCCUAAUACAUGCAAGUAGGACGCAGUUGCGAACGGGUGAGUAACGCGUAGGUAACUACCUAUUAGAGGGGGAUAACUAUUGGAAACGAUAGCUAAUACAGCGUACUAGUAGAUGGACCGGCGUUGUAUUAGCUAGUAGGUAGGGUAAUGUCCUAUCUAGGCAAUGAUGCAUAGCCGACCUGAGAGGUGACUCGGCCACAUUGGGACUGAGACACGGCCCAAACUCCUACGGGAGGCAGCAGUAGGGAAUCUUCCGCAAUGGGCGCAAGCCUGACGGAGCAACGCCGCGUGAGUGAAGAAUGUUUUCGGAUCGUAAAGCUCUGUUGUAAGAGAAGCGGUAUCUUACCAGAAAGCCACGGCUAACUACGUGCCAGCCGCCGCGGUAAUAC
rnacentral:rRNA from 1 species